rnacentral:misc_RNA from 1 species
GAUGAAGAACGUAGCGAAAUGCGAUACGUAAUGUGAAUUGCAGAAUUCAGUGAAUCAUCGAAUCUUUGAACGCAUAUUGCGCUCUCUGGUAUUCCGAAGAGCAUGCUUGUUUGAGUAUCAGUAAACACCUCAACUUCCAUAUCUUUUUUGAAAUGGGAGUUGGACUUGAGUGAUCCCAACGCUUUUCCUCACCGAAAAGUGGCGGGUUACUUGAAAUGCAGGUGCAGCUGGACUUUUCUCUGAGCUAUAAGCAUAUCUAUUUAGUCUGCCUAAAAAACAGAUUAUUACCUUUGCUGCAGCUAACAUAAAGGAGAUUAGUUCUUGUGCUGACUGAUGCAGGAUUCACAAAGACAGCUUCGGCCGACUUUGUAAACUCGAUCUCAAAUCAAGUAAGACUACCCGCUGAACUUAAGCAUAUCAAUAAGCGGAGGA